AAAAAAAAAAAAAAAGAGUUGGGAUGCAGGUCAGUAGCGUUGAGGACAAAGUUUUCCCUCCCUUCUUUUCCCCUCCCUCCCUUCCUCCUUCUGUUUCUUCUCUCCCUCCCUGGCUUUCAGCAUUGUUAAUCAUUCCCCAGCUGCUAGCAUCUGCAGGCUGAGCCGGCAGAGAAGUGUGAGCCUUAUCCUGUGCCGGAGCCAGGGGCCCCAACUCCAAGAAAAAGAGAGUGUAACCCGGCAGCCCUUCUGGAAUGUCCUGCCAAGUCUCAGAGGGUGAGUUAAGCACCACCCUUGGCCUAGAGGUCAGAUCAAAGUUGGGAGUCACCAAAUCUCAAGGAUCCAACAGGAAAGUGAGUGAAUGGGGGUUUCACAGGGACAUUCUAGACUCUAGACUGAGGGGGGGGGGGAAGGCAGUUGUAUACUCCCCUUCUCCCCACCCAGUUCUGAGGUACUUCUCUUCAGCCUAAAUGGAAGGGAAACAUGGGUUCUGCCCAGAAGCCAGGGAGAGCAAACCGGAGUGGAGGAACAAACAUAUACAGUUCCCCUGCCCUUGGGAGCAGGCUCCCACCAGCCCCAGGGGAGAGGCUGCAAGCUGAAGUAAACAAGUUCCAGAGAAGGGAGCAAAACUCCAGGCAGUAUUCCAGGAACUCUGUCAGAUGUGAGGGGUGCCUGGAGGCCUUGUCCUGGCUGCCCAGAUGCUGGGUGGGGGCUUUCCAAAAGCCCUGGAAAUUCUGAGCGUCUACGGAGGCCCCAGGUGCAGGGCUGAGCCUGCGCAGAAAACUCUUCCACGUUAGAGCCAAUGAGGAUGCGCAGUGCAACCCUGGCCAAGGUCCGGACUCCCCAGCUGGGGAUGUCUGGGAAAGUAGACUGCCCAGAGAGCAGAACACGGGGUCCACGGGUGUGCUUUUGACAGCCAGAAGUGGGGGUGGAGUGCGGUGUUUUCCAUGGCAAAAGAUGGAUGCUAGUCCAGGUCCUUGGGCACUGCCAAGUUCCCUGCAACCUCAACAGUACUCCUUGAGGUCCUAUUGGGUGGGUCAAUCCACAGUCAUUGAAUUAGCUUACGCAAUCAGCCCCAGGUAAUGGAAGGCAGCAUGGUUCUGGGCAAUAAAGCCCAGUAGUGUGAGCCGAGGGUCACUUGCUUUGUUUCUGCCUUGUUGCAAAAGUCCUCCAAAGUGCAGAUAAAUCAGAUGCUGAAAUCUGUGAUGGCAGACACAGAUCCCCACCCACCCAGUUCAGACCUUUGACUACGAUAUACGACUAUAGCCGGCAACCGUCACAUGCUGCGGAAGCUGCUGCCUAAUCCCAGCACCCCAACCCCAAAGCCUCCACUCAGCACAGGACCCUCGGUACACAUGAGCAUCUUGUUUCUCUAACGCCAGCAGGGAUGGAGGUAACAAGACUGUCCUCCCAGCCCAGUUCUAAUUUCAGCAACCCUUCAGGCUGACAGUGGCGUCUGGAGAAUUCAGGACCUGCCUGGGCUACAGGAUGAGACCCUAUCCCAAACCGGAAACCAACAAAUAAAAACAAAAUCUCCACCUUAGGAGAUGAGAGGAGCUCAGGUGGAUUCCAUGACCUCACGUAUGCCAGGCAGGCGUUCUACCGCAGAAAACUGUUUUUAGUUCCGGAAGUGUCUCCUAAACCUCGCCAAGCAAGCAUGGGAAAUUCUUGAGGAUCUUGAUAAGAGGUAGGAUUCUAAUCCAGUGAUCUGGGUGGAGUCUGAGAGUCUGUGUUCUGUUCAAUCUCCUUGGUUAGUGUAAUGGCUGCUGUGAAGACCACACUUUGAGAGGCACGGCUCUGGGCUUCCAGAAGCAUAAAUGUCAGCUGAUGGAUCCCUGGACAGUGACUCAGCCCGAGAGUAUGCAGACACUAAAGAAACGCUAGGACUGGGCUGUGUAGACUCCAGCUUGAAGCAGCAGAGAUUCGAACCAAAGGUCACGCUACCCAGCGCUACCAGAAGUGCUUCUGGAUGUUCCCUUGUGCUGAACAGCAUGGCUACCUGUGAUCUAUCCAGGCUUUCUACCUCAGCCACUGCUGCUUUAAGUAUAAUCAUCUCCAGGGCUGAGGAUGUGGCUGUCUGUUAGCGCAUUCGCCUAGCGUGUGGGAAACCCUAGGUUCAAUUCCAAGAGCUGCUUAGAGUACGUCUGGGACUGCUCACCUGGGAUCCCGGCGCUCAGGAGGUGGACGCAGGAGGAUCAAGAAGCUGAAGGUCAGGGGUUGGGGAUUUAGCU
rnacentral:sRNA from 1 species